ACCAUGCAGUCGACGGUGAAGAGGAGCUUGCUCCUUGGAUCAGUGGCGAACGGGUGAGUAACACGUGAGCAAUCUGCCCUUGACUCUGGGAUAACUGCGGGAAACUGUAGCUAAUACCGGAUAUUACCUUGGAAGGCAUCUUCUGGGGUGGAAAGAAUUUUGGUCAAGGAUGAGCUCGCGGCCUAUCAGCUAGUUGGUGAGGUAAUGGCUCACCAAGGCGACGACGGGUAGCCGGCCUGAGAGGGUGACCGGCCACACUGGGACUGAGACACGGCCCAGACUCCUACGGGAGGCAGCAGUGGGGAAUAUUGCACAAUGGGCGCAAGCCUGAUGCAGCAACGCCGCGUGAGGGACGACGGCCUUCGGGUUGUAAACCUCUUUUAGUAGGGAAGAAGCGACUGGGUUUUCCUGGGAGUGACGGUACCUGCAGAAAAAGCACCGGCUAACUACGUGCCAGCAGCCGCGGUAAUACGUAGGGUGCAAGCGUUGUCCGGAAUUAUUGGGCGUAAAGAGCUCGUAGGCGGUUUGUCGCGUCUGCUGUGAAAACCCGAGGCUCAACCUCGGGCCUGCAGUGGGUACGGGCAGACUAGAGUGCGGUAGGGGAGAUUGGAAUUCCUGGUGUAGCGGUGGAAUGCGCAGAUAUCAGGAGGAACACCAAUGGCGAAGGCAGAUCUCUGGGCCGUAACUGACGCUGAGGAGCGAAAGCAUGGGGAGCGAACAGGAUUAGAUA
rnacentral:rRNA from 1 species